AACGAACGCUGGCGGCAUGCCUAACACAUGCAAGUCGAACGAGACCUUCGGGUCUAGUGGCGCACGGGUGCGUAACGCGUGGGAACCUGCCCUUAGGUUCGGAAUAACUCCCCGAAAGGGGUGCUAAUACCGGAUAAUGUCUUCGGACCAAAGAUUUAUCGCCUUUGGAUGGGCCCGCGUUGGAUUAGCUAGUUGGUAGGGUAAAAGCCUACCAAGGCGACGAUCCAUAGCUGGUCUGAGAGGAUGAUCAGCCACACUGGGACUGAGACACGGCCCAGACUCCUACGGGAGGGAGGAGGGGGGGAUAUUGGAAAAUGGGGGGAAGCCCGAUCCCGCAAGGGCCGGGGAGGGAUGAAGGCCUUAGGGUUUUAAAGCUCUUUUACCCGGGAAUGUAAUGACAGGACCGGGAGAAUAAGCCCCGGCUAACUCCGUG
rnacentral:rRNA from 1 species